UACAGUGCCAGUACAGUAUCUUGAUACAGUAUCAGAGCAAGAAAGGUGGCAUAAUGCAAACUUUCAUGUGUGAACACAAUAAUUUAACAUCCACCAUUAACCUUACAAUGCACACUUUGAGUUAACGUAAUACUUAUAUGCUUUUUGUUUGUGUGAUAGAUUAUUUGUUAUUCUGAGCAAUUGUAUUACACAUUAUUACAUGAUUGUAUCACAUAUUACAAAUUCACAUGAUGCAGAUGACACACAGACAAUUAUUUUACAUAAAUAUUUAUGUAUUUGUAAACACAAGAAAUUUAUAAUCCAAGAUUCAUCUUCUCUUACUAUAGAUAUUGUGGAAAAAGUCAUCCAUGACCCAGACAAUGCCAACAUUAACUGUGACCAAAGGUAUGACAUUUUGUAAAUUAACAGAUUGACAGAUUGUUAUUAACAAAAAAACAGAUAUAGCUAUAGCUAUAACAUUAGUUCAUCUCAAAUUAUAUAUAUUCUUUAUGUUCCAGUGUGAUUUAGUAUCUCUUAAAUGAGUUUUCAGUUUACGUAAAUAUUUUUUUGUUUGUACACAGUGGAAAUGUAUAAGACCAAAUCUAUCUCCUCUCCCUCUAGAUAUUGUGGAAAAAGAGUCAAGCAUGACCCAGACAAUGCCGACAUUUACUGUGACCAAAGGUUGGACUGUUAAGAUGUCUGGUGCUCCUGUAAAACUAACAUCAGGUUGGCCUGUUGGUACAUCAGAUAAUACUGGUUGCUCCACUUCCCCAACACCAGUGAAACCAGCAUCAGAGAAGAUGAUAUUGGUAAUUGGAGCAGUUGUGACUCUGGAUGCUGUCCUUGGAUUGGCUCUCCUCUUUACUCAAAGCAGGAUUGAUCACAGGGAAUAUGUGGGUGCGUACAGUGAAACAUACAGUAUCGUCAUCUAUGAAUGAACACUGACAGCAGCAGCUAAAAGAAGCAGCUACAUCAGCCCUCUGACAUACAGUGUAAAGCACUCUAAAGUCUAUUUAAACUGAUUUUUAUUUACAGAGCAGAUAUUAGCAUGUUGUAAUAUUUCAAUUGAACCUUGGUGAGCUUGUUUUCUGUUCCUGAUUCUGAUUAUGUAUAUAUGUAUAUGCUUUCUGUAUGAUGAAUACAAGUCUCUUAUGUAUAUCAUGUAUGAUUAAGUGUUGUUGAUUAAGUUGUUUGGCAAUUGAACUCAAGUAGCCCCUUGUAAUACAAAGGAACAUACACCAAUCAGCCAUUAUGACCACCUGGGCAUCCUGGUGGUCAUAAUGUUCUGCAGCCCCAUACCAAUGUUCUGACACAUUUCUCUCAGAACCAGCAUUAACUUUUUCAGCAGUUCGAGCUACAGUAGCUCGAAUGUUGGAUCAGAUCACACAGGCCAGCCUUCACUCCCCACGUGCAUCAAUGAGCCUUGGUUGCUGCUUCACCGCUUCACCACUCCUUGGAACCCUUUUGAUAGGUACUGACCACUGCAGACCAGGAACACCCCACAAGAGCUGCAGUUUUGGAGAUGCUCUGAACCGAGGCGUCUGGUCAUCACAAUUUGACCCUUGUCAAAGUCGCUCAAAUCCUCAAGCUGCCCAUUUUUCCUGCUUCUAACGCAUCACCUUUGAGGACAAAAUGUUCCCUUGCUGCCUAAUAAUGGUCAUAAUGUUAUGGUUGAACAGUGUAUGUUGAAGUUUUUAUGAGAUGGUCAUAUGAUUUUAUGUAACAUAGAAGAGUAAGGAGACGAAAAAUGUGUCUUAUGAUAAUUUUUUUUUAGAAAAGAUAGCUUGGAUAAUAUUGAGUAAAAUCAUCUGUUUCUUGUCAGUUGGUUACAGUUGAUCUGUUUUUUUGUGAAAUGUUAUACGAGAGACUUCUCUUCAGUCAUCUGCUAGAUGCAGCCAGUGACUCCUGCUUGAAAGCAAUAAAGAUGGGUAGAGAUGCAGCACGUUCUGUCGACUUAGGUUUUGAUUGCCUUAUUCUCAUAUGCACUAGACAAGAACUAAAAUUCAGUUGCCACCACAGAACUUUGCUAGAUUGACAAUAACGUGUAUCAUAUAUUGCAUUGAAUAACAAAAAACAAACAAACAAUAUACACAAUUGGUAAACAAAAAGUCCCACGAAUUUCAGAAGUUCUAGUUCAUAUUUAUUUAUAUAGUGCUUUAAACAUAAAAAAAAACAUCUUUGUACCUAAAUGCUUUACAUAAGAGGAAUGAAACAUUUUAUAGGGAAGAACAUGCAGUUGGUACAAUGAUUGAAUGUUCAGGACAAACAUGAAAUGACUGCAUGAACAUGGACAUGAACACAAAUGUGAGCCAUUUUCAAAAAUUAUUUAAGUCAAGACUGCGUUUGCUUUCACUGACACACACACACACACACACACACACACAGACACACAUACUGUGACUCUACAUAUUGUUCAGUUUGUGUAUUUUACUAAUAUGGGAAAAAAAUAUAAAGCUGCUGUCUGUGAAAAACAACAAUAAAGCAACAGAAAUAAUAAACAAACACAAUCAUAUUUCUUCAGAGUUCACUUUGGAUGAUUCAUUAUUUAUAUAUAUAUAUUUUCCUUUUUUUUUUUUUUUUUUUUUUUUUUUUUUUUUACAGAUUAGCUAUGUCAAGAGUGUGUGUUUCUGUGGCCUCUCUGUCUGUGUGAUUAUCAUAUGAUGCUAGCUGUGGGUUUCCUGAGAGCAAAUUUAGCGCAGUGACACUUAAGUAUGUCAGAGUCUGUAGUCAGACACUGAAGUAUCUUUAUGGACAGUCUCAGUAGUCAGCUUCAUCAUGGCUGGACGCCUGUUGUUUGUCUUCCUCAUGUGUAAGUUAAACCUCUUAUGGAUUAUUUCAUUAUUAAUGUAGAUUAUUACAAACCAAUGCAGGUUCACACUUGCAUGACAUGACAUUAAAUUAUAAUGUCAGCCAUUAUGUAUCAACAUGUCAUACCACACUACAUCUCUGUUGAUGACUUUAUGUGUGUUGUUGCUCUGUGCUGUUUACUUGUAAACUUAUCGUGGAACUGCAGUAAUAAUUCCCCCACUGGGACAAACUAAAUAUUUCAGUUUUAGUCUUUUUCUACAUGUUGCU
rnacentral:lncRNA from 15 species